UGCAGUCGAGCGGUAAGGCCCUUCGGGGUACACGAGCGGCGAACGGGUGAGUAACACGUGAGCAACCUGCCCCUGACUCCGGGAUAAGCGGUGGAAACGCCGUCUAAUACCGGAUACGACCCUCCACCUCAUGGUGGUGGGUGGAAAGUUUUUCGGUCGGGGAUGGGCUCGCGGCCUAUCAGCUUGUUGGUGGGGUAACGGCCUACCAAGGCGAUUACGGGUAGCCGGCCUGAGAGGGCGACCGGCCACACUGGGACUGAGACACGGCCCAGACUCCUGCGGGAGGCAGCAGUGGGGAAUAUUGCGCAAUGGGCGAAAGCCUGACGCAGCGACGCCGCGUGGGGGAUGACGGCCUUCGGGUUGUAAACCUCUUUUACCACUCACGCAGGCUCCACGUUUUCGUGGGGUUGACGGUAGGUGGGGAAUAAGGACCGGCUAACUACGUGCCAGCAGCCGCGGUAAUACGUAGGGUCCGAGCGUUGUCCGGAAUUAUUGGGCGUAAAGAGCUCGUAGGCGGCGUGUCGCGUCUGCUGUGAAAGACCGGGGCUUAACCCCGGUUCUGCAGUGGAUACGGGCAUGCUAGAGGUAGGUAGGGGAGACUGGAAUUCCUGGUGUAGCGGUGAAAUGCGCAGAUAUCAGGAGGAACACCGGUGGCGAAGGCGGGUCUC
rnacentral:rRNA from 1 species